rnacentral:misc_RNA from 1 species
CGUAGGUGAACCUGCGGAAGGAUCAUUCAUAAUAAGUGUUUUAUGGCACUUUUUUAAAUCCAUAUCCACCUUGUGUGCAAUGUCAGGGUUGAUUUUCUCUCGAGAGGAUCAACCCCAAACAUCAACUAUAUCUCAACUCUUUGUCUGAAAAAUAUUAUGAAUAAAGCAAUUCAAAAUACAACUUUCAACAACGGAUCUCUUGGCUCUC